CACCUCUUCCUUAAAUAUUUCUGAAACAGAAUCCCAAAAGGAACAAACCAUGGCAUCCUUCCAAAUUUAUUUCAUUUAUAAGCUUUCUUGUACUCCCCUUUGCCGUUAAAAGUCCCCAGAGUGGUGUUACAGCAAUACAGGUGUCAGGGGUUCAGGGAGAGAGGCACAGGGUAGGCAGGAGAUGGAGAGCGAUGGGGAGGAAUUCCAAGCCAGCGAGGAAGAGGAUGACAAUGACUCAAGAGAUUCCAUGAGUCUUUCCAGCGAAUCAGAGGAUUCCCAGAAGGGGCGCCGGUGGUCAAGGCCAGGGAGCCCCAGGGGGAAGUGUCAGGAGCAGGGUGCCAGCGGAGGAUCCCAAAGGGGCAGCUGGGCGUCAGGACCAGCCUCCCCACCUGAGUGCAGCGAAGGGGUGGAGUUUCCAGUGUGUCAGAGGAAGCAGCUCCAGCAGCAGAGAAAGGAGGGGGUCAGAGCAAGCCGCCCUCCCGGAAGGGAGGAGCAGUGAAGGGAGUAGUGUAACUGUCAAAAGGAAAGUUAGAGGUUUGGCGCGCGCGCCUAGUUCAAAUGUAGAGGCGCGCGGAAGUGCAGGGAGCCCGGAGGAGGGGCCAGGUCCCAAAGCCCGCAGGAGGGGGAAGAGCAGUCUGAUUCCGCGUCAGAGGAAUCCAGGAGGGCGAAACCCCAGUGGGCAGAAGGACCCUGCGGAAAAGGAAGUAGAGAAAGAGGUGGAGCAGCUCAAGUCUCUUAAAUUGGUGCAGUGGAAGGACUGACUCAGAGGGGACUUCAGCGGUCUAGCGUAAGAGACGUAAGGCUGCGCGCCUAGGAUGUCAAGCAAACCAUGAACUGCAAUAAACACCUUUGUAUAUAAGAAGACAUAGGCGUUGGUCUUUUGUGAGCUAAGACUUGAGGCAGCCUUGACAACAGGUUAUGCAGCAUCAUGUUAAAACAACAGCUUCGAUUCGCAAGGAGUUUAAUGAAUUGAAAAGUUCCCAUCCCCUCACAGGAUUAGCGUUGCCAGGGGUUGGACUAGAUGGCCCUUUGGGUCCCUUCCAUCUCUAUAAUUCUGUGAUUUCAGCCAUCUGCAUUUCAGCAGCCUGUUGGGAGCCCUCCUGAAUAAUGUCCUGAUUUACACGUAACACUAAACCAUGGUUUGCUUAAACCACAGUUUGUUUAAUAAGCAGCAAGCUGAAACAAGUUGUCUGACAGACGAGAGACAGCAACAAACCAUGGCUUCAGAGCAGAGUUUGUUGGCAAUAAACAAACCAUAGUUAAGUUGCUGGGCGGAUAAUACCAUCCGUGAAGUUUAUUAAAGCACUAAACCAGGUUUGAGGAAGCUUUGGCCUUCCAGAACGACUACUCCCAUCACCCCUGGCUUGCUGGGGCUUAUGGGAGUCAUAGUUCAGCAAAAUCUGUAAGGCUAAAGGUUUCCCAAACCUGUACUAAGCCAUGGUUUAAUAAACCAUGGUUGAACAGGCCAUGGUUUAGUGUUGACUGCUAACCAGGGUAAGAUGGGGCUGCUGCGAACUUCCUUGGCUUAGCAUUGUAAGCCCUACGAACACCUAUGCUGUUUGUCUCCACCAUCAGGUAUUCAAAGAUAAACUGCCUAUGCACAUGGAGGCUCCAUUUGCUAUCAUGGCUAAUAAACAGAAACCCCCUUAUGAAGAAAGGUUGCAGCAACUGGGACUCUCAACUGAGCAGAAAGGUGAGAGACAGGCGACAGGACUGAAGUUGACAAAAUGAUGCAUGGCAAGGAGAAAUUAGACUGAGAAAACUUCCCUUCUCUCUCUCAUUACACUAGAUCUUAGGGACAUCCAAAGAGGCUGAAUGUACCAUAUUUUUCACUCUAUAAGACGCACCAGACCACAAGACGCACCUAAUUUUUGGAGGAGGAAAACAGGAAAAAAAAU